GACGAACGCUGGCGGCGUGCCUAAUACAUGCAAGUCGAACGCAGUGGGGACGGGUGAGUAACCCGUGGGUAACCUCCCAUCAGAGGGGAUAACGCUUGGAAACAGGUGCUAAACCGAUACUGAUGGAUGGACCCGCGGUGCAGUAGCUAGAUGGUGAGGUAAGGGCUCACAAAGGCCACGAUGCAUAGCGGCCCUGAGAGGGGGACCGGCCACCCGGGUACGGAGACACGGCCCAGACUCCUACGGGAGGCAGCAGUAGGGAAUCUUCGGCAAUGGACGAAAGUCUGACCGAGCAACGCCGCGUGAGUGAAGAAGGUUUUCGGAUCGUAAAACUCUGUUGUUAGAGAAGCGGUAUCUAACCAGAAAGCCACGGCUAACUACGUGCCAGCAGCCGCGGUAAUAC
rnacentral:rRNA from 1 species